UGUUUCGGCUAGGGGGUCAUCCCGACUUACCAACCCGAUGCAAACUGCGAAUACCGAAGAAUGUUAUCACGGGAGACACACGGCGGGUGCUAACGUCCGUCGUGAAGAGGGAAACAACCCAGACCGCCAGCUAAGGUCCCAAAGUCAUGGUUAAGUGGGAAACGAUGUGGGAAGGCACAGACAGCCAGGAUGUUGGCUUAGAAGCAGCCAUCAUUUAAAGAAAGCGUAAUAGCUCACUGGUCGAGUCGGCCUGCGCGGAAGAUGUAACGGGGCUAAACCAUGCACCGAAGCUGCGGCAGCGACACUAUGUGUUGUUGGGUAGGGGAGCGUUCUGUAAGCCGUUGAAGGUGUAUCGUGAGGUAUGCUGGAGGUAUCAGAAGUGCGAAUGCUGACAUAAGUAACGAUAAUGCGGGUGAAAAACCCGCACGCCGGAAGACCAAGGGUUCCUGUCCAACGUUAAUCGGGGCAGGGUGAGUCGACCCCUAAGGCGAGGCCGAAAGGCGUAGUCGAUGGGAAACAGGUUAAUAUUCCUGUACUUGGUGUUACUGCGAAGGGGGGACGGAGAAGGCUAUGUUAGCCGGGCGACGGUUGUCCCGGUUUAAGCAUGUAGGCGGAGGUUCCAGGUAAAUCCGGUACCUUUUUAACGCUGAGGUGUGAUGACGAGGCACUACGGUGCUGAAGUAACAAAUGCCCUGCUUCCAGGAAAAGCCUCUAAGCAUCAGGUAA
rnacentral:rRNA from 1 species